rnacentral:lncRNA from 1 species
UCAAUCUUUUUUUUUGUCGUCCAUUUAUCAUUAGUAAAAGAAGCUCAUAAAAGGUGGAGUGCAAAGAGUUUGACAAAGCCCAUCAACAGCCCAUACAAAUCAAGAUAAACACGAGUUAAAAGACAUACACAUCAUAGACACGCGUUUUAUGAAGAAUAACAAGGGCAAACGUGGCAAUUCGAAAACAAAUCGCUGCAUUGCCGUCAAGACUCCGCCGACGACGGUUUUAUCUCCGGGAAUCAUCAGCAAAUCUCCAGUGCCAUCAGAAAGCUUCGCCUAAACAUCUUCUUUUCUUCACAUCCUUUUUUUCUCCUCCAGGUUAGAUCUCGUGGGUAACACAGGCUAAAAAUUGACUUCUUCAGUAGAAUUGCCGCCGUUCAUCGAAAACUCAAGACAUCAUCCUUUGCCUUGACAAGGCUCAAUAGGAAUUUGGGGAGUUUCAUUCUCCGAGCCAAGAGCAGAUGAAACCAAAAAUCAAAGAAGAAAAGUUCCAACUCUUACCACCAGAUCCACUCAUCCCCGCCUCAAUUGAAAGAGGAAACCAUAGGUAGAGGAGAAAGGGGAAGAACAACCAAACAACCAGAAAUCCAAUGCUCUAACUUGAAAAAUGAUGAUUCCUGUAAACAAAUCUGACACACCACUAAGGAUUAGUGUAAGAUUGAAUUAAGAAAUCAACAACAAAUGAAAGCAAAGGACUCUGAUUGAAGGAAGUGACAAUCCAAAUAAAUCAGAAAUUAUUCUCCGUUAAACGGAAAGAAAGAUCCGACCUAAGCCGGAAAACAUCCGAUAUUAAUCGGAAUUUACACAACAAAAACUGAGAACAAUUCGCCCUCUGUGAAAGAUAGUGAUGAGAGAACAGAGGGAACCGAAUCAAUCUUUUUUUUUUUGUCGACAACCGAAUCAAUCUAAAAAUAUAUUAUAGCCACAACGUGUCUAAUUUGCUAUAUAAAACAAUGACAUUUAAAAUUUAAACGAAAAUAUGAAAUAUUUGAAAAGAUGAAAUAAUUCAAAAGAUGAAAUAAUUCAAAAGAUGAAAUAAUUCAAAAGAAAACAGAACAUGACUAAGUAAAG